CGAAACUGCGAAUGGCUCAUUAAAUCAGUUAUCGUUUAUUUGAUAGUACCUUACUACAUGGAUAACCGUGGUAAUUCUAGAGCUAAUACAUGCUAAAAAUCCCGACUUCGGAAGGGAUGUAUUUAUUAGAUUAAAAACCAAUGCCCUUCGGGGCUCUCUGGUGAUUCAUAAUAACUUCUCGAAUCGCACGGCCUUGCGCCGGCGAUGGUUCAUUCAAAUUUCUGCCCUAUCAACUUUCGACGGCUGGGUCUUGGCCAGCCGUGGUGACAACGGGUAACGGAGGGUUAGGGCUCGACCCCGGAGAAGGAGCCUGAGAAACGGCUACUACAUCCAAGGAAGGCAGCAGGCGCGCAAAUUACCCAAUCCCGACACGGGGAGGUAGUGACAAUAAAUACUGAUACAGGGCUCUUUCGGGUCUUGUAAUUGGAAUGAGUACAAUUUAAAUCCCUUAACGAGGAACAAUUGGAGGGCAAGUCUGGUGCCAGCAGCCGCGGUAAUUCCAGCUCCAAUAGCGUAUAUUAAAGUUGUUGAGGUUAAAAAGCUCGUAGUUGAACCUUGGGCCUAGCCGGCCGGUCCGCCUCACCGCGUGCACUGGCUCGGCUGGGUCUUUCCUUCUGGAGAACCGCAUGCCCUUCACUGGGUGUGCCGGGGAACCAGGACUUUUACUCUGAACAAAUUAGAUCGCUUAAAGAAGGCCUAUGCUCGAAUACAUUAGCAUGGAAUAAUAGAAUAGGACGUGUGGUUCUAUUUUGUUGGUUUCUAGGACCGCCGUAAUGAUUAAUAGGGACAGUCGGGGGCAUCAGUAUUCAAUUGUCAGAGGUGAAAUUCUUGGAUUUAUUGAAGACUAACUACUGCGAAAGCAUUUGCCAAGGAUGUUUUCAUUAAUCAGGAACGAAAGUUAGGGGAUCGAAGACGAUCAGAUACCGUCGUAGUCUUAACCAUAAACUAUGCCGAUUAGGGAUCGGACGGCGUUAUUUUUUGACCC
rnacentral:rRNA from 1 species